rnacentral:rRNA from 1 species
AAUAGAUACCCGGGUAGUCCACGCCGUAAACGAUGGAUACUAGCUGUUUGAGCGCAAGUUUGAGUGGCUAAGCGAAAGUGAUAAGUAUCCCACCUGGGGAGUACGGGCGCAAGCCUGAAACUCAAAGGAAUUGACGGGGGCCCGCACAAGCGGUGGAGCAUGUGGUUUAAUUCGAUGAUACGCGAGGAACCUUACCAGGGCUUAAAUGUAGAUUGACGUAUUUGGAAACAGAUAUUUCUUCGGACAAUUUACAAGGUGCUGCAUGGUUGUCGUCAGCUCGUGCCGUGAGGUGUCAGGUUAAGUCCUAUAACGAGCGCAACCCCUGUUGUUAGUUGCCAGCGAGUAAUGUCGGGAACUCUAGCAAGACUGCCAGUGUAAACUGUGAGGAAGGUGGGGAUGACGUCAAAUCAUCACGGCCCUCACGUCCUGGGCCACACACGUGCUACAAUGGCCGGUACAGAGAGCAGCCACUUAGCGAUAAGGAGCGAAUCUAUAAAGCCGGUCACAGUUCGGA